AUUCACGCCAAAAAUAAAAAAUAAAUUCUCUUCUUAGUACAAAGAUAUUGCAGUCAUGCAGAAAGUGUAUACUUAUUUUACAUGAAACCAACUGAAAUAAUACAUACAAGGAUGAUAAACACACAUGACAUACAACCUUAUUAAUAUAUGCAUAGCCACAAGAACAAACUCAAGUAUAUAAUAAUAAAUAUAUCAUAAGGAUAUAUUCCAAUUGCUAUUGUCCCCUUGCAAGCAUUUGCUCAUAAUUCUCAAUGGAUUGGAGCCUCUGAAUAAGAAGAUGGUGCUUAAAGUUCUUGAUGAAUUCAUCAGCCUUAGCAUCAAUAUCUUCAGUAGGCAUUCUUUCUAGCUUCUUAAUCACUAUGACCUCUCCUUCAUUCUCUAACCCAUGUGAUGAUGGUGAUGUUGUUGUUGUUGCUGUUUUUCUGUUCUCUGUGAAAUUGUUCAUCUUUUCCUUUUCAUGCUUUGCAUGUAAAGCUUUGUGGUUGUGGUGUGAAGAUAGGAUAUAGUUUCUUCUCAUUGUUGCUUGAAUAUAUGUCAAAGCCUGUGUCUAUAUGUUGUGUUUCAAUGGAAUGGAUACUCCUGUUUUC
rnacentral:lncRNA from 1 species